rnacentral:rRNA from 1 species
CGGGCUCAAACGGCGGAGGAGAGUUUUUGAAAGGAGGCUGCCAGCAAUGGCCUCCGCCGAGGUGCUGCAUGGUUGUCGUCAGCUCGUGCCGUGAGGUGUCGGCUUAAGUGCCAUAACGAGCGCAACCCCCACCGCCAGUUGCCAUCAGGCAAGGCUGGGCACUCUGGCGGGACUGCCGGCGCAAGCUGCGAGGAAGGCGGGGAUGACGUCAAAUCAGCACGGCCCUUACGUCCGGGGCGACACACGUGUUACAAUGGGGGGGACAAAGGGAAGCCAGGCGGCGACGCCGAGCGGAGCCCCAAACCCCCCCUCAGUUCGGAUCGGAGUCUGCAACCCGACUCCGUGAAGCUGGAUUCGCUAGUAAUCGCGCAUCAGCCACGGCGCGGUGAAUACGUUCCCGGGCC